rnacentral:tRNA from 1 species
GGAGAGGUGCCGGAGCGGUUGAACGGGACGGUCUCGAAAACCGUUGUGGGGGCGACCCCACCCAGGGUUCGAAUCCCUGCCUCUCCGCCA